CUGUUCAGAUUUAUGUGAUUGGUUAAUUUUUGAAACAAAUAUUUUGUUAAUGCACAUUUUUGUUUAUAUGGAUAUUGAAAGUGGUGGCAAGGCAGUUGGCAGACUGCUGUUUGAGGUAAGGAGAUCUUCUGUCUCUAGAUUAGGUGAUCUACUGUGGAUAAAUGAAUAUUAUUUAUUACAUUAUUUUCUACUGUCAAGAGCUUUUUAAUGUCAAAUUUGUGUCAGGCCCUGUGCACUGGAGAGGCAGACUUGUCCAAGGGUAAUCUUAAUUUGAGCUAUAAGGGUUUGAUUUUCCACAGAGUUGUAUCAAAUGGCUGGGUACAGGGUGGAGGUAAGAGGCUGUAUCACAUUUAAUACAUGUAAUACAACACAAUACAAUACAACUUUAUUGUAGCUGAAAUUGGUCUUAGACCACACCUGCAACAUUUAAAACAAACAGUAAAGACAGAUACAUUGGAAUUAAUAAAAGUGUCAGUCACCUGAGGUAACAAUGCCAUUAAAAAUAACAAAAAACAACAACAUUUCAUACCAGUAAAUCUUGUGACUUUAUACAGUAUACUUAAUCGCUUUAACGGUUUCUGUUACAGAUAUAUCACCUGGAAAUAAAGGCAUUGGGGGAGAAUCUAUCAAUGGCCCAACAUUUGAGGAUGAGAAUUUUUGUAUCCCACAACAAGCGUGGUGUCCUGGGAAUGGCUAACAAAGGUCCUCAUAGCAACGGCUCUCAGUUCUACAUUACACUACAGCCAGCCUCAUGGAUGGACCACAAAUAUGUGGCUUUUGGACAACUUGUUGAAGGCGCAGAGGUUCUAAGGAGAUAGAGGAAGUGCCCACCUUCAAUGAGAGGCCCAAACAGGACUGCAAAAUAAUAGCAUGUGGUGUGUUCGAGCCCUGAGUUAUCACAUAUUUGAAGCUUAAACAAUGCAAAAGAAGGAUUUGUAACAUGACUACUUGUAAUAUAUGAAAUGGCUUUGUGCUUGUCUUUGUGAAGUGCACCACGUUUGUUAAAUGGCCCACACAAUAUUUUGCGGUGCACAUAAAAAUAAAAAGACUUAUUAAAAAAAGACAAAUUAAAAACCUCUCUUUAAACUAUUUAAUUUUUUUAGAUGAGUUAAAUUUACUUUUAAUAAAUACAUUCUUCCAAAGCAGCUUUACAGAGAAAUGCCUCAAAAAUAGAGGUCGCCCGAUAGUCGAUUUUGCCGAUACCGAUAACUAAGGUGGUGUAAAAGGCCGAUAACCCAUUAAGCGGCCAAUAGGUUUUUUUUAAAUCAAUUUAUAGAAUGAUAAAAAAAAUUAUUACUCUUUCCUUACUAUUAAAGCCCAAAGUAUACUUUGGUCAGCCGCAAACACUGAGCAUCUGCGUAAAGGACACGUGAGGCAAAUCUCGUCAUCAGCAGAGUGCAUGAGCACUGAACGCGCGCAGCCCGAAUUUUCUAACCGUGCG